rnacentral:lncRNA from 1 species
UGAGCAUAAAUAUGUUUUCAUCAAAGCAUAUGAUGGCAUGAUUAUAUAGUUAUGAUAUGUUUAUUUUGAGGACACUGCAAAAAAUUUGAAUUGAUUAAUGAAGACAAAUAUUAUAAUUUCAUGAAAAUGAAAAGAAAGAGAAAUAUGGUUUGGACUGACCUUGUCAUUUGGAAUAGCCUGCCAGGAGCUUAUGCCUGGGAUAGCCCCCACAGGCUUAUGUGUGGAAGAAUCUGAUCCGAGAAAGAUCAUGAAGAAUCUGAUCCG